UACAGAGGGUGCGAGCGUUAAUCGGAAUUACUGGGCGUAAAGCGUGCGUAGACGGUUAUUUAAGUCAGGUGUGAAAGCCCCGGGCUCAACCUGGGAAUUGCAUUUGAGACUGAAUAGCUAGGGUGCGGAAGAGGGAAGCGGAAUUUCCGGUGUAGCGGUGAAAUGCGUAGAUAUCGGAAGGAACACCAGUGGCGAAAGCGGCUUCCUGGUCCAGCACCGACGUUCAGGCACGAAAGCGUGGGGAGCAAACAGGAUUAGAUACCCGGGGUAA
rnacentral:rRNA from 1 species